CCCACAUUUGCUCAUUGACUUUUUUUUGGUUUCAGAAAGCAGAUUCGUGAAGACAGGCAGGCCCCCGUGAUCCCCUCCAUCAAGCCCCUCUCCACGUUGGCUAACAAAAACCCCCAAACUCCUGUCAAUGGUUUCCAGCUGGCUGUCGCUCAAAGGUUCUCCUGGGAGAGGAGGAGCCUGAAAACUGGACUCAGGCUCUCGCUCAUUACCUCCCAACACCACAAAAACCUCUUUUGCCUUUAUCCAACCUCCAGCCCCUCUACAUUUGAUUUGUUUGAGGAAAAUCAUAGAAGCAUUUGUGUAUAUUCUGUUGAAAGUAGCUGAGGAGGAGUAUGAAAAAGGUGUGCCGUAUGACUGAGGGGAGUUCAGGGCGGCACUUUGGUCUGGCGGUGAGGACUAAAUAUAGCCGAGAGUGUUUCAAUAGGAGGGACUGCUUGCGUCACACAGGGUGGGCGAAGGAAAGGGUGAAGAAAAGAAAUAGCAACAAAUCCAAUGUUUAAAGAGGAGUGGACCCACUCAGAAACACAUAAAGUGAGCAUACAUCAGCAGGAGAACAAACACUGGAGAUGGAGUGUUUAUCUUCCAGGAGUGACGGUGAUGACAGUCGGUUGUCGUCAGUGUCAGAGGUCGAAGGAGGAUGGGGAGGGAGUCUACAGGCUGCUGAUGGAAGGACCUGGUGUUCUGUCACUCACCAUGUCUGGUUAGAGGACCAAGGGUGCUGGGCUUGAUUUUCAUAGUGUGUGUGUGUGUGUGAAUGCAUAUCCAUGCGCAUGUUAAUGUUUCUUUGCACAUUGGUGGGGAGUGUGACUCUGAGUGUAUUUUGACAUUGUGAACACAAAUAUCUCUGUGGCAUCAGCAUGUGGACCUCCUCGUUCGGUCUGAAAUGAAAGAAGAGCCUUUCAUUUCGCAGAGUUAAUAAAUGACUGCCGUACAUCCUUCAGGUCAGUAUUCACAAUGUUUAGAAUGUAUGCAAUAAAACAAGCAGUUGGUGUACAUCAAGGUACUACAUUUGGUCCCCUGUUCUUUAGUUAGUAUAUUGAAAACUUUCCCGAAGUCUGUCCACCUAAUGUCACCUGUGCAAUCUAAUCACUGACGCUGAUGUCAUCUCAGUGUUGUUAAACUGUGUGUAUCUUCUUUUUGAGUUCUGUAAAUAGAGAGAUCCAGCUAUUACAGAAACAGGGAAAAUAUCAACACGAGGUGAUAACUAUUUAGGUGUGCUAUUCGGUUCACAGCUUUCUUUUGAAUAUAAAAAAAGUUGAAGAAAACAAUAUUUGGAUGAUUUCUAGAAACUUUCUUUUACCAACACUUGGCAGAUGUACAUGAAUGCUAUAAUUCUGAUUUACUAAAUGACCCACUAGACACAAACCAGUUGGACAA